rnacentral:rRNA from 1 species
AAAAUCCGGGAUUCUAAGGCCGAGAGCUGAUGACGAGUGUUCUUUUAGAACACGAAGUGGUUGAUGCCAUGCUUCCAAGAAAAGCUUCUAAGCUUCAGGUAACCAGGAACCGUACCCCAAACCGACACAGGUGGUUGGGUAGAGAAUACCAAGGCGCUUGAGAGAACUCGGGUGAAGGAACUAGGCAAAAUGGCACCGUAACUUCGGGAGAAGGUGCGCCGGUGAGGGUGAAGCAUUUACUGCGUAAGCCCAUGCCGGUCGAAGAUACCAGGCCGCUGCGACUGUUUAUUAAAAACGCAGCACUCUGCAAACACGAAAGUGGACGUAUAGGGUGUGACGCCUGCCCGGUGCCGGAAGGUUAAUUGAUGGGGUUAGCUAACGCGAAGCUCUUGACCGAAGCCCCGGUAAACGGCGGCCGUAACUAUAACGGUCCUAAGGUAGCGAAAUUCCUUGUCGGGUAAGUUCCGACCUGCACGAAUGGCGUAACGAUGGCGGCGCUGUCUCCACCCGAGACUCAGUGAAAUUGAAAUCGCUGUGAAGAUGCAGUGUAUCCGCGGCUAGACGGAAAGACCCCGUGAACCUUUACUAUAGCUUUGCACUGGACUUUGAAUUUGCUUGUGUAGGAUAGGUGGGAGGCUUUGAAGCGUGGACGCCAGUUCGCGUGGAGCCAACCUUGAAAUACCACCCUGGCAACUUUGAGGUUCUAACUCAGGUCCGUUAUCCGGAUCGAGGACAGUGUAUGGUGGGUAGUUUGACUGGGGCGGUCUCCUCCUAAAGAGUAACGGAGGAGUACGAAGGUGCGCUCAGACCGGUCGGAAAUCGGUCGUAGAGUAUAAAGGCAAAAGCGCGCUUGACUGCGAGACAGACACGUCGAGCAGGUACGAAAGUAGGUCUUAGUGAUCCGGUGGUUCUGUAUGGAAGGGCCAUCGCUCAGCGGAUAAAAGGUACUCCGGGGAUAACAGGCUGAUACCGCCCAAGAGUUCAUAUCGACGGCGGUGUUUGGCACCUCGAUGUCGGCUCAUCACAUCCCGGGGCUGAAGCCGGUCCCAAGGGUAUGGCUGUUCGCCAUUUAAGGUCUACGCGAGCUGGGCUUAGAACGUCGUGAGACAGUUCGGUCCCUAUCUGCCGUGGACGUUUGAGAUUUGAGAGGGGCUGCUCCUAGUACGAGAGGACCGGAGUGGACGAACCUCUGGUGUUCCGGUUGUCACGCCAGUGGCAUUGCCGGGUAGCUAUGUUCGGAAUAGAUAACCGCUGAAAGCAUCUAAGCGGGAAACUAGCCUCAAGAUGAGAUCUCACUGGGACCUUGAGUCCCCUGAAGGGCCGUCGAAGACUACGACGUUGAUAGGUUGGGUGUGUAAGCGCUGUGAGGCGUUGAGCUAACCAAUACUAAUUGCCCGUGAGGCUUGACC